rnacentral:misc_RNA from 1 species
UUAACCCAGAACCUAAAGGUGAAGGUGAACAAAACAAACAGUUGCAGAUAUCGUAGGUUUGUUCAUCAAAGUACUUCUACAACAGACGUGAUAGAGCUGAGUGCUAUUGGCAUCAUUGUGAAUAUACAGUAAUUUUUAUCUACUACAGUUGACUUCAUACAUGAUGUAUAUUUUGAAGUUAUCUAUCUAUAAACAUUGAAAAUCACUGGCAGUAAGUGACAAGUAUCAUGUAGUUGAAUGGGGAAAAGGUCAAUGCCAGAGAGUCUACGCAAACGGUUUUUAAACUACAUAGCUGAAAAUCUUGUGGAUUGAAGUUGCUCCAAAAGGUGAAAUGAAGAAGGAAGCUGCAGUCAAAUGGCCUGAGAGUAGCCCAAAUCUUCCAGAAUGGCUAGCAACACAACCUACACAGGAUUGGGAGGACACCUUUCACAGAGAUGGUUGCUUGACUGCCAACAACAUUCUCACAGAAGAUGAAGUUCGGAUCUACAAAGACAUCUACACUAGGAUGUUAUCUGGGGAAAUAGACACGAGUAGACACCGUCAUGAUCUAGGUAAUCAUGUUAAACAGGUUUCUAAGAGUCAAGAAAAUAUCUGUCAAAUAAUGUGGCCAAGUGAAUAUAUUGAAGACCUUUUAAAGGGUCCAUUGCAUACAAGGGCAGAAGCAAUAGCACAUGUGGUAUUAGGGAAGGAUUGUGUGUUAGACUUUGACAUGCUUAUAUCAAAGGGGCCCCAUACUAAUACAGAGACCCCAUGGCAUCAGGAUGAAUCCUACUGGCUUGAUCAACCUGAUAAGCGAGCAGCUUCUUUCUGGGUGGCGUUAGAUGAGUCAACCGUUGACAAUGGGUGCAUGUGGUUUGUACCUGGCUCCCACAAGCUGCCUAUGAGGCCAUUCAGGCCUGUCAGUGAGGGACAUCAUGUGCUAUGCUGUGAUUGCUCAGAGGAGGAAGGUGCACCAAGGCCGCUAAAACCAGGAUCAUGUACAGUACAUCAUGGUAGAACAUUGCACUAUUCCCGGGGAAAUACAACAAAUACACAGCGCCGUGCAUACAUAGUUAACUUUAGGCCAGCAGAUAUGGUGAAGUUUGAAAGGGAUCACAAAUUUGAUCAUGGAAAGAUUGGUGUUGAUGGAGUUAUUCUUACGCAUAAAGAAGUACAAUAGAGAAAGAUCGAAUAUAGAGAGAGAGAUGCUUUAAGAGAGAUUUUUAUGAGGACAAUUAGAAAAAUAGCGCAUGUGUUAUAGCACAUAUUUGUAAAGGGCUUUCGCCAAAUAUUCCAGGAUCUCAAUUAAGAAAUUGAGAAAUGUGAAUAUAAGAUUACUUAUUACUAGUAAUCAUGAUUGUAGAUGAUUUGUAAAACAAGACCUCAUAUAAUGAGCGACUUCACAAUUUAACAUUCCUGUAUUUACCCCAUGCAGACAGAUCGCCGAAACUUGCAUCCGUACGGUUUUAUCUUAACAUCGUAAUUUCAAUCACCGCCAUCACUUUCAAACGAGUAACCUUGAAAUAUCAGACGUCAUGCUUUUCUCAUACUUAUACAUUCACCAUUUAUUAGCAGUAAAAAUAGAUUUGCUUCAUGGGUAACAAGAAAUUAACUGAAUUAUUUUACUUUGAAAAUUGGAAAAGUGUAGGAUAGGUAUGCUGAAAUAAAUGAAAAAUAAAUAAAUAUUUU